GUCUUCCGCGGAACGUGGCCGCAGUUUUUGGAACGUUCUCAUCGGGACGUGGUUGGUCGGGCCUGCCAGCUGAUACCGUGGAUCCUUUGCGGUAGAUAAAUUCUGCCGGUAAUGGAAUUUCGUUCGACGAAGAGCCAUCGAGAAAUUAUGGAUCGUCGCUCAAGGAGCAGAGCGAGCCAGAAAAAUCCUUGUUACGAGGAUUUUAUUCGUCUCGAGAAUUACGUCUUUGCGAAGUGGCCCGGUGAACGAUAGGCGAACUUUCAUCGAGGAACGCCAGCUGGUCAAGCCCGCAGAUUUUCCAAAAUGGCGGCGGAGAGCUCGAGCGGAUUUUCUCCCGCGGACACGCGGAAACGAGCAGCGAGAUCCGGAUCGCGAGAAAAAAAAAUAUUCGAGCGCGUUACGAGCGACCAAUAAAUAUUUCAACGGG